UUUAGUUCAUAUAGUUAAUAAGUGAAUUUUUUAGUCCCUGAAAUUUAUAUUUUAAUUCCUAAAAGGUUCCUACAGUUAAAAUUCUUUAACUAACAGAGUUAAAAAAAAUUUAACGGCAGAAACUUUUUGGGAAUUAAAAUGUAAACUUCAUGAACUAA
rnacentral:pre_miRNA from 1 species